rnacentral:rRNA from 1 species
GACGAACGCUGGCGGCGUGCCUAAUACAUGCAAGUAGAACGCUGAAGAGAGGAGCUUGCUCUUCUUGGAUGAGUUGCGAACGGGUGAGUAACGCGUAGGUAACCUGCCUGGUAGCGGGGGAUAACUAUUGGAAACGAUAGCUAAUACCGCAUAAAAUUGAUUAUUGCAUGAUAGUCAAUUGAAAGGUGCAACUGCACCACUACCAGAUGGACCUGCGUUGUAUUAGCUAGUUGGUGGGGUAACGGCUCACCAAGGCGACGAUACAUAGCCGACCUGAGAGGGUGAUCGGCCACACUGGGACUGAGACACGGCCCAGACUCCUACGGGAGGCAGCAGUAGGGAAUCUUCGGCAAUGGACGGAAGUCUGACCGAGCAACGCCGCGUGAGUGAAAAAGGUUUUCGGAUCGUAAAGCUCUGUUGUAAGAGAAGAACGAGUGUGAGAGUGGAAAGUUCACACUGUGACGGUAUCUUACCAGAAAGGGACGGCUAACUACGUGCCAGCAGCCGCGGUAAUACGUAGGUCCCGAGCGUUGUCCGGAUUUAUUGGGCGUAAAGCGAGCGCAGGCGGUUAGAUAAGUCUGAAGUUAAAGGCUGUGGCUUAACCAUAGUACGCUUUGGAAACUGUUUAACUUGAGUGCAAGAGGGGAGAGUGGAAUUCCAUGUGUAGCGGUGAAAUGCGUAGAUAUAUGGAGGAACACCGGUGGCGAAAGCGGCUCUCUGGCUUGUAACUGACGCUGAGGCUCGAAAGCGUGGGGAGCGAACAGG